rnacentral:rRNA from 1 species
GUGAGGAAUAUUGCGCAAUGGAGGCAACUCUGACGCAGCCAUGCCGCGUGCAGGAAGAAGGCGCUACGCGUUGUAAACUGCUUUUAACCGGGAAGAAACCCCAGGACGUGUCCUGGGUUGACGGUACCGGAGGAAUAAGCACCGGCUAACUUCGUGCCAGCAGCCGCGGUAAUACGAAGGGUGCAAGCGUUAUCCGGAUUCAUUGGGUUUAAAGGGUGCGUAGGCGCAGCGUUAAGUCAGUGGUGAAAUCCUGCAGCUUAACUGUAGACUUGCCAUUGAUACUGGCGCUCUUGAGUGCGCUUGAAGUGGGCGGAAUGUGCCGUGUAGCGGUGAAAUGCUUAGAUAUGGCACAGAACACCAAUUGCGAAGGCAGCUCACUAAGGCGAUACUGACGCUGAGGCACGAAAGCGUGGGGAUCGAACAGGAUUAGAAACCCCUGUAGUCC